CCUACGGGAGGCUGCAGUGGGGAAUAUUGGACAAUGGGGGGAACCCUGAUCCAGCCAUGCCGCGUGUGUGAAGAAGGCCCUCGGGUUGUAAAGCACUUUCAGUGAGGAAGAACGCCUGGUGGUUAAUACCCAUCAGGAAAGACAUCACUCACAGAAGAAGCACCGGCUAACUCCGUGCCAGCAGCCGCGGUAAUACGGAGGGUGCGAGCGUUAAUCGGAAUUACUGGGCGUAAAGCGCGCGUAGGUGGCUUGAUAAGCCGGUUGUGAAAGCCCCGGGCUCAACCUGGGAACGGCAUCCGGAACUGUCAAGCUAGAGUGCAGGAGAGGAAGGUAGAAUUCCCGGUGUAGCGGUGAAAUGCGUAGAGAUCGGGAGGAAUACCAGUGGCGAAGGCGGCCUUCCGGACUGACACUGACACUGAGGUGCGAAAGCGUGGGUAGCAAACAGGAUUAGAUACCCGAGUAGUC
rnacentral:rRNA from 1 species